UACAUGCAAGUCGAACGAUGAAGCUUCUAGCUUGCUAGAAGUGGAUUAGUGGCGCACGGGUGAGUAAGGUAUAGUUAAUCUGCCCUACACAAGAGGACAACAGUUGGAAACGACUGCUAAUACUCUAUACUCCUGCUUAACACAAGUUGAGUAGGGAAAGUUUUUCGGUGUAGGAUGAGACUAUAUAGUAUCAGCUAGUUGGUAAGGUAAUGGCUUACCAAGGCUAUGACGCUUAACUGGUCUGAGAGGAUGAUCAGUCACACUGGAACUGAGACACGGUCCAGACUCCUACGGGAGGCAGCAGUAGGGAAUAUUGCGCAAUGGGGGAAACCCUGACGCAGCAACGCCGCGUGGAGGAUGACACUUUUCGGAGCGUAAACUCCUUUUCUUAGGGAAGAAUUCUGACGGUACCUAAGGAAUAAGCACCGGCUAACUCCGUGCCAGCAGCCGCGGUAAUACGGAGGGUGCAAGCGUUACUCGGAAUCACUGGGCGUAAAGGGCGCGUAGGCGGAUUAUCAAGUCUCUUGUGAAAUCUAAUGGCUUAACCAUUAAACUGCUUGGGAAACUGA
rnacentral:rRNA from 1 species